UGUCGCUGCGGUGCUGUGAUGCAGCAAUUCAACAAUGGCUACCGAAGAUAAAAGAUACAAAAAAGUAAAGUUGAAGCCCCUGCCAGUAACUUUCUCAACAGCGGGAACAAGAACUUCCAAGAUGAGCAAGAAAAAGAACUUAUUAACUGACCAUCUAGAAAAAGUCAAUACAUGUGAUGCCAAUGAGCAUGUAGGAAUAAAUAACAAUAUAAUUAAGGAACAGGCUGCUAGACCGUCUUCACUGUCCUUUGGAUACAAUGACAUCGGUGCAGCACAUUGUGACGAAUCGCUGGAAAUCGAAGACCAUGGGCUAAAUCUCAAGGAAUCGUUAGAGAGGAGUGCAGGAGAAUUGAAGCAAAGGAAAUUGCUUAUUCGUCAAGAAGUGAUUGCAAGUUCAUCUAUUUCUGACACGUAUUUUCGACAUCACAUAGCACUGCACUCUUUAGUUUGUUGGAGUUAUGCCUCGUAAGGAUAUCACUGCUGACACGCUGAGGAAUGAGAUGGUAGUUCAAAAAAGGUAGUGUCCAUGAGUACCGGUACCUCAUCAUCAUCUUUGAAAGCUUCUAAGGAUCUGUCCGCGACUCCUACUAACCAAGAUCAUGAAAUCCUGUCAAAGACAGAGCUACCACGAACAGUUUCAAAGGAGGAAGAAGAUGUGAUAAAAAGCUCACCGGACAUUUCUGCUGUAGACAUCGCAAGUCCAGACACAUUGAUGAAGAGCUCAUCUCCUUUAACUACGAAGUCGGCGGAGAAUCUAGACUUGCUCCCUGACGACGGUAAAAAAGUAAAAUCGUUACCGAUGACCCUUCAUUACCUGACGGAGCAUGUGGUUGAGGGACCUCUGCAGCCAAGGAGCAGACAGUACCUCAUUACGGCCAAAGAACUUGUAAGUGCAUAGCAUACAG